rnacentral:rRNA from 1 species
GAUGAACGCUGGCGGCGUGCCUAAUACAUGCAAGUCGAGCGAACAGACGAGGAGCUUGCUCCUCUGACGUUAGCGGCGGACGGGUGAGUAACACGUGGAUAACCUACCUAUAAGACUGGAUAACUUCGGGAAACCGGAGCUAAUACCGGAUAAUAUAUUGAACCGCCUGGGUCAAUAGUUAAAAGCGGUUUUUCUUUCACUUAUAGAUUGAUCCGCGCCGCAUUAGCUAGUUGGUAAGGUAACGGCUUACCAAGGCAACGAUGCGUAGCCGACCUGAGAGGGUGAUCGGCCACACUGGAACUGAGACACGGUCCAGACUCCUACGGGAGGCAGCAGUAGGGAAUCUUCCGCAAUGGGCGAAAGCCUGACGGAGCAACGCCGCGUGAGUGAUGAAGGUCUUCGGAUCGUAAAACUCUGUUAUUAGGGAAGAACAAAUGUGUAAGUAACUAUGCACGUCUUGACGGUACCUAAUCAGAAAGCCACGGCUAACUACGUG